rnacentral:tRNA from 1 species
GGAUAUAUAGCUCAGUGGCAUAAGUGCCUGCCUGGCAAGCACAAGGUCCUGAGUUCAAUUCUCAGUGCCCCCC